CCUUCGGGACAGAGGUGACAGGUGGUGCAUGGUUGUCGUCAGCUCGUGUCGUGAGAUGUUGGGUUAAGUCCCGCAACGAGCGCAACCCCUAUUGUUAGUUGCCAUCAUUCAGUUGGGCACUCUAGCGAGACUGCCGGUAAUAAACCGGAGGAAGGUGGGGAUGACGUCAAAUCAUCAUGCCCCUUAUGACCUGGGCUACACACGUGCUACAAUGGUUGGUACAACGAGUCGCAAGCCGGUGACGGCAAGCUAAUCUCUUAAAGCCAAUCUCAGUUCGGAUUGUAGGCUGCAACUCGCCUACAUGAAGUCGGAAUCGCUAGUAAUCGCGGAUCAGCACGCCGCGGUGAAUACGUUCCCGGGCCUUGUACACACCGCCCG
rnacentral:rRNA from 1 species